rnacentral:rRNA from 1 species
UGAGCAACCUGCCCUUAACUCUGGGAUAACCCUCGGAAACGGGGGCUAAUACUGGAUAUUACUUCUGGUCGCAUGGCUGGUUGUGGAAAGUUUUUCGGUGGAAGAUGAGCUCGCGGCCUAUCAGCUAGUU